AACUGUUCGAACACAUAUUUGAAUCACUUCCUGGAAAUAAAGGGAGCUGCCACAUGAGCUUAGAGGACACAGGCUGACUCAGUGAAGAUGAAGAUAAAUGAUGUGAAGGAAGAGGAGGAACCAGCAGAGUUCCCAGGAUGCAGCUAUGUUGCAGUGAAAAGCGAUUGUUCCAAAGAAGAACCUCCAUAUUUCAGUGCUGAACCAAAAGACAAUAACAGGAGUCCUGCUGGUGGGGGUCAGCAGCUGCCUAUGUGUGCUUUGUGUCAGGAUGUCCUGAAACAUCCAGUUUCUACUAGCUGUGGACACUGGUUAUGCAGACAACAAGCUGACUCAUACUGGGACCAGUCUGCUUCAUUAGAAGAUGACUCCUGUCCCCAUAAUGGAGAAACAUCGAGCACUGGACUGCAGUCAGCUGGACAGAGGAGCUGUAUACAUAAUGUUGGUCUGCAGGAGGUUUUAGAUGAACAUAAGAUCAGUCUGAGGAGGAGAUGUGAAC